rnacentral:rRNA from 1 species
AUUGAACGCUGGCGGCAGGCCUAACACAUGCAAGUCGAACGAGUGGCGGACGGGUGAGUAAUGUGUGGGAAACUGCCUGAUGGCGGGGGAUAACUACUGGAAACGGUAGCUAAUACCGCAUACCAUCAGAUGUGCCCAGAUGGGAUUAGCUAGUGGGUGGGGUAAUGGCUCACCAAGGCGACGAUCCCUAGCUGGUCUGAGAGGAUGACCAGCCACACUGGGACUGAGACACGGUCCAGACUCCUACGGGAGGCAGCAGUGGGGAAUAUUGCACAAUGGGCGCAAGCCUGAUGCAGCCAUGCCGCGUGUAUGAAGAAGGCCUUCGGGUUGUAAAGUACUUUCAGCCGGGAGGCGUUACCCGCAGAAGAAGCACCGGCUAACUCCGUGCCAGCAGCCGCGGUAAUUC